rnacentral:rRNA from 1 species
GAGUUUGAUCCUGGCUCAGAACGAACGCUGGCGGCGUGCCUAACACAUGCAAGUCGAACGGAGUGAAGGAGCUUGCUCUUUCAUUUAGUGGCGCACGGGUGAGUAGCGCGUAAAUAAUCUGCCUUGGACUCUGGGAUAACAUCUCGAAGGGGGUGCUAAUACCGGAUAAGCCCACGAUGGCGUAAGUCAUUGCGGGAAAAGGGGGCCUCUGAAUAUGCUCCUGAUUCAAGAUGAGUCUGCGUACCAUUAGCUAGUUGGUAGGGUAAGAGCCUACCAAGGCGACGAUGGUUAGCUGGUCUGAGAGGAUGAUCAGCCACACUGGAACUGAGACACGGUCCAGACUCCUACGGGAGGCAGCAGUGGGGAAUUUUGCGCAAUGGGGGAAACCCUGACGCAGCAACGCCGCGUGAGUGAUGAAGGCUUUCGGGUCGUAAAGCUCUGUCUAGAGGGAAGAAAUGAUAGUCGGUUAAUACCCGGUUUUCUUGACGGUACCUCUGAAGGAAGCACCGGCUAACUCCGUGCCAGCAGCCGCGGUAAUACGGUGGGUGCAAGCGUUGUUCGGACUUAUUGGGCGUAAAGCGCGUGUAGGCGGUUUGUUAAGUCUGAUGUGAAAGCCCUGGGCUCAACCUGGGAAGUGCAUUGGAAACUGGCAGACUUGAAUACGGGAGAGGGUAGUGGAAUUCCUAGUGUAGGAGUGAAAUCCGUAGAUAUUAGGAGGAACACCGGUGGC